CAGUGCAAUAUGAUACAGUCUCUAAGAGUCGAGUUGUUUGGGAAUGCAGCUCAAAGAGGGUGGUAAAUUCCAUCUAAGGCUAAAUAUUGAUGAGAGACCGAUAGCAAACAAGUACCGUGAGGGAAAGAUGAAAAGAACUUUGGAAAGAGAGUUAACAGUACGUGAAAUUGUUAAAAGGGAAACAAUUGAAGUUAGACUUGUUAUUAUUAGUUCAACCUUUUUUUAGGGAGUAUUCUAAUGAUUAACAGACCAACAUCAACUUUUGAGUGUUGGAUAAGGGCUUAAGGAAAUGUAGCAGUCUCUGAUUGUGUUAUAGUCCUGAGCUUU
rnacentral:rRNA from 1 species